ACGGCUGAGUAACGCGUAGGCAACCUGCCCUUAGGAUGGGGACAACGGCCCGAAAGGACCGCUAAUACCGAAUGGACUCUAACUUUCGCAUGGAAGAAAGAGGAAAGAUGGUGCAAGCCAUCGCCGAAGGAAGGGCCUGCGUCUGAUUAGCCAGUUGGUGAGGUAACGGCUCACCAAAGCGACGAUCAGUAGCCGGUCUGAGAGGAUGAACGGCCACAAUGGGACUGAGACACGGCCCAUACUCCUACGGGAGGCAGCAGUGGGGAAUCUUCCGCAAUGGGCGAAAGCCUGACGGAGCAACGCCGCGUGAGUGAAGAAGGUCUUCGGAUCGUAAAGCUCUGUUGUUGGGGACGAAAGGGUAGACGAGGCAAUGCGUCUACUAAGACGGUACCCGACGAGGAAGCCACGGCUAACUACGUGCCAGCAGCCGCGGUAAUACGUAGGUGGCGAGCGUUGUCCGGAAUGAUUGGGCGUAAAGGGAGCGCAGGUGGGACGGUAAAGUCCUUCUUAAAAAGCGUGGGGGCUCAGCCCCAUGAAGGGAAGGAAACUAUCGAUCUUGAGUGCCGGAGAGGAAAGCGGAAUUCCCAGUGUAGCGGUGAAAAUGCGUAGAUAUUGGGAAGAACACCAGUGGCGAAAGGCGGCUUUCUGGACGGCAACUGACACUGACGCUCGAAAGCCCAGGGGAGCGAACGGGAUUAGAUACCCCGGGUAGUCCUG
rnacentral:rRNA from 1 species